GUGUCAGCCGCCGCGGUAAGACGGAGGAGGCAAGCGUUAUCCGGAAUUAUUGGGCGUAAAGGGUCCGCAGGUGGCAGUUCAAGUCUGCAGUCAAAGGUCGGGGCUCAACCCCGGAAAGGCUGUGGAAACUGAACAGCUAGAGUACGGUAGGGGCAGAGGGAAUUCCCAGUGUAGCGGUGAAAUGCGUAGAGAUUGGGAAGAACACCGGUGGCGAAAGCGCUCUGCUUGGCCGAAACUGACACUGAGGGACGAAAGCUAGGGGAGCGAAAGGGAUUAGAUACCCCUGUAGUCCUAGCUGUAAACGAUGGGUACCAGGCGUUGUCCGUAUCGACCCGGGCAGUGCCGUAGCUAACGCGUUAAGUACCCCGCCGGGGGAGUACUCUCGCAAGAGUGAAACUCAAAGGAAUUGGCGGGG
rnacentral:rRNA from 1 species